rnacentral:rRNA from 1 species
UGAACGCUGGCGGCGUGCUUAACACAUGCAAGUCGAACGAGAACGGGCCUAGCUUGCUAGGCUGUCAGCUAAGUGGCGGACGGGUGAGUAAUGUAUAGUUAAUUUGCCCCUUAGAGAGGGAUAACAGUUGGAAACGACUGCUAAUACCUCAUACUCCUUUAUACUUAAUGUAUAUUGGGAAAUGUUUUUUCGCUAAGGGAUAAGACUAUAUGGUAUCAGGUAGUUGGUGGGGUAAGAGCCUACCAAGCCAAUGACGCCUAGCUGGUCUGAGAGGAUGAUCAGCCACACUGGAACUGAGACACGGUCCAGACUCCUACGGGAGGCAGCAGUGGGGAAUAUUGCACAAUGGAGGAAACUCUGAUGCAGCAACGCCGCGUGGAGGAUGACGCAUUUCGGUGUGUAAACUCCUUUUAUAUGGGAAGAUAAUGACGGUACCAUAUGAAUAAGCACCGGCUAACUCC